CAUCAUAAUAUGAAUCAUAUUGUGACAUAUCGACUUCUCUCGCUUUUGUUGUCACUUUCUUUGUCCUCGAGGUAUUCUGUACAGAAGUAUACGGUCGAGGUGGAGGUGUUGGUGGAACAGUCACUGAAAUGGUUUAAUUAAAUUUCU
ensembl:ncRNA C56E6.12 ncRNA